CAGAAGGAGGUCCCAUAGUCAAACACUCUAUCGGGACCUCCUGUACAAGAGCAAUUAUCAUAGUUAACAUCUGAAAGCAACAACAGCAUAUAAGAAGGAA
rnacentral:lncRNA from 1 species